GCCGCUCUUCUCAGCGGGCCGGAUGCUCAGGCUCUCCGCUUGAAGAAGAGGCCCGCCCCGCUGGAGCAGACACGCCGGUGCCUCCCCUCAGCCCUGGAGCCUUUCAGUGCCUCCUGGGGCCUGGAACAGGCCUUUGAUCGAUCAAUCAAACCAUUCAUCACUCCCCAGGAAUCCAUACCUUGGGCCACUUCACCCUCUAUACAAAGUGAUAGACAAGUGUCCUGAUUACAGUUUUGUAGCAAGGGAAGGAUUUCCCUUUCCAAGUGUCCUUUAGGGAAACCCCUAAGUGGGCUAUGGUGGAGUAGCAGCCCAUAUAUAGUCACAUGAACAUACUGCAUUUACCUAUCUGUGGAUGCGGUCUAAACCUUUUCUUUCUCCAUUAGAAAACUGUUGUCAAAGAAAACCUCCAGGGAAGCAGUAGAUUUGAGUAAAGGGAAAUGUAUUGGUUUCACUAACAGAGCUAGAUAUCCUAGGAGACAGGUACACUAAUUCAUGUAAUUUACUUGUGAUUUCUGGACCUGCCCAGACCCAAUCCCAAAUGUACCUUUUUUGCACAGUGGAUUACUAUUAUGCCCACUAACAGUGAAUAAGGUAAUACUCUUCUGAUAAUUAGCAGCUUUAGUCCUGUAGUUUCUUGAUGUCACAUAUCAAUUCUAAGUUUGAACUGGGGCCCAGAGUAUUUCUGGAGUUGUCUUUCAAAAAGAGUACUUCUCUAUUAUAAUAGGCAUAACCCACAUGGCUACUCUUCUCUUAGCAUUUACCAGAGACUCCGCACAGAUGUAUCCUUAUCUCUCAGAUACAUCAGCAUCAUUUGACUCAUUGGGUCAAAUGGCCUGAAGAGCAGGGAACUUGCACUGCAGCCUAGACUUGAUGUAGAACACACACUUGCUCUGUGCCCCACUCAAAAGCUGGCAAUUUCUGAAUUGCUAGAUUAAUGAUUCAGAACAGUAUUCCCAAGUGCAGCAUAUUACUACCCCACUUAUUUGGAAAGUGAUUCUGAAGACCAGGGCUGAGGAAUGAAUAAGUGAAACAAGAAGAAGCAAAGUGAAUGCAAGUGUGGAUUAUCAAGUUCACUGUUGCUGGUAACUGCUACCUGGUGCCAUGGGACCAUCCAAACAGCCUUAUGAAAUUGUCUCAGAAGUGCCUGCUGCCCAGAGAAUGAAAGGUUAUCAGCUUCUGUCUGGAAACGUAUCAGUCAAGACUGUCUGCCCUGCC